AGGAUGGAAGAAAUUUGUUACGUCAAAUUAAUCAUGCCUUGGGUUAAAAAUUUAAUUAAUCACACCAGCCUCAGACAAUUUCAAUUCUCGUUACUUUUAUCGCAUCUUAUUAAUUUGUUUUCUGUAAUUUUAUUAUCUUCGUCAACAGAAAAAGAAAAAGAUCGAUCUGUAUCGAAAUAAAAUAAUCCUAAUCGCGUCUCGGUAUGAAAACCGUUUAUUCAUGUCGUAGUUUUAGAAUUUUGUUAUCGUUCUCGAUUUAUGUAAAACUCAAAAUUUGAACGAGUAUAGAAAAUGGUGUUUCUUUUCAAUUCGAUCGAUUUCCUAUGUGACUCGGAAUAGAAAUUUUAUUAUAGUAUCAAGUUGGUACUCUGUUGCUCUGUUAUUCCAAACCGAGGGAGUGCAACGCAAAAAAUAUUAAUUUUAUUGUAACUCUGGUGCUUGACCUCACUGCAUGACCCAAUUAUGUCUCAAAUAUUAUUUAUCGAUACAUUUUGACAUAGUGUUAUAAAUAAAUCAUUGGGAUAAAUGUUCGAGACGGUGUAGCUUGCACUUCUGAAUCUCUUUAUUUUGUUAUUCUAAAUUUCUUUCUUCCUUUUGUCGAUGAUAUCGUCGUGUUGCUCUUUUUCUUAUUUUUUUGAUUGUUUACUAGCAGAAUUGUAAUCCGAGGUUCGAAUUCCAAAUUUGUUUAAUUCCAAACAAGCCGAACAAAAAUAUAAACGGACAAUGUAAAUAUCAUCGGAAUACACAAACAACUUUAAAUGUUAAUAAAGAGCACAAUUGAUUUUCACUUAUAUCCUCUAAUUGAAAAAUAACAUUAAAGCAGAAAGCGACUGGAUCGUUCUAUUAUCGAGUUCAUUUUCGAAUUUCGACUGUAAAUGGUUUCAAUUUUGAUCGGUAGAUUUAAAAUUCCAGGGUGCAAUUUGCAGUAAUUGAAUUUGAAAAUUUUUCUUGCAGUUUCAAUUUGGAAUUUUGCGGUUUGAACACGGAAAAUGUUUAAAAGAAAUUUUUCGAUUGGAUCUUGGUGCCUGGAUAGAGUAGGGCCGAGCGAAAUUAUUUUUUUUUCGAAGCUAAACAAAAACAGGAUCGCCAUCGAUUGACUUAUUUCGCGGAAACGGGAGGAUCAGAUCGUCCAAAUACAAACGAGUAACGAUAAUAAACGAAACGAGAGAUAGAGAGAGAGAGAGAGAGAGAGAGAAACAAAAAUAAUACAGAAGAAAGACAGAAGAUAAACAGACGUUUCGAUUAGUAAUUUAACUUAAUAAUUUAUAAAAAGGACCAAAUUACGGUUUGAAAUUUUUCCAGAUGACAGAUUUAGUUUUCUUUUUUUAUUUUCUUGUAAUUUCAUGGCCACGAUUAUGAAUGAAAAAAUGACAGCUUCGUUGCAGUAUUUUAGAGAGGUUUUGACGAAUUUAGGAUUCCCGUUUAGAAAAUUCCAGAAAAUGUUUUUAAUUAUAUGAUGUAUUUUUUUAAAAAAAAACAUGUAUUUUCGACGAACUGUUUUAAAUAUAGCGAUUGAAAAUUGUUUUUGUAAUGGAACAUGGAAAGCUCGAGAAUUGUAAAUAUUUUUUCAGAACAACUGCGUUUUGUUAUCUAUCGUUAAUUUCUGCACAAGAAUGUCGAAUAUAUUUCAAAACGAGGUCGAAAAGUAAUGAAAAAUGUUGUAAGAAAUGAAAUCACAGAAGGAAUCUAUUUUUCAUCGUACAGUGUGAUUUUAAACGUGAACCUCUAAUCCUCUCUGACAGUAAUAUGCAAUUACGAAUAUUUUUCAGAUUAUACAUGUCACAUGCGUGUUUAUUUAAGAAAUGAUCUGUCCCAGUAUAAUUUACACGGUGCGCUCGCAAUUUCUCCAAAACUGUUUCAAAAGGAAAUCAUCCCGAGAAAAAAAAAGAAGUAUCCGUACGAAAGACGAAUGCUGUUUCACGGUGCAUUUAAAAUUUCUCCCAAACUGUUUCAAAAAGGAAAUCAUCGCAAGAAAAUAAAUUUCGAGUAUAUUCGAGUGUAUAUUUAAUGGAGCCCGAAGGAGUCGUUAACUAACUAUUUAUUAUUUAUCCAGAAAAAUAAUAUGCAUAUGAAAGACGAAUGCUGUUUCAUGAUUCACCAAAGAGCGCCUCACUCGUAUUUCUCUCUGUUAUUAAUAAAUUCAUUUACGAUUAACGAGCGUGCCAAUUGGAAUAUUUUGAACAGAGAAAAGAAUCGCGAAAUUGCGAAAUUGCAAUCAAAAUUCGUCUUAUUUCAAAUGUUCAGUCUAUUGCUCGUUUAUACGUUACAAGGACAACGAUGAUGAUACAAUACAAUUUCAAGUAUAUCGUAAUUAGACUGUGGAUCUUUAUGCAAAAAUAAAAUCUUGGCAAACUUAACGUUCAGUCGAAUCCUGUCUCAAAAAGAAUGUAAACAUGAUCGGAAGAACUGUUAUACGUAUGCGUGUGAACAGAAUAACGAAAUUUGAAUGUUUAAAAUAUCGAAAGAUUCUGCAAAUUUUGAAAACAUCGAAACUCAUUGUAUAAUUCGAACAUAUUCGAAAUGUGUCGCGUUGAAUAUUUCUGCGGAGUAGUUGUUUGAUUUCUCAUGGGGGAACAGAUAAUGAAACAAUUGUUCGCAAAAAUUUGGAUCUCAUAAAGAAUCAACGCGGAGUGGUGAAUUUGAUUAAGAUUUAUUGUUCGAAUUAGUAUCGGAUAUUUGUGCGAGAAAAAGAUCGGAGUGAACAUUCUUAAUUUUGAACCAUAGUCAGAUGUGUAAUUUCAUUUGUUGUGGGGAGGAGAGGGACAAUUUAGAAUAAAAAAAAUUGGAAUACACGAGGAAGGAUUUCAACUUGUUUGCAUUCUAUUUUCUUGUGAAAAAGAGAAAUGGAGUUAAAGAUUCCAAAUUUUGAACCAUAGUCAGAUGUGUAAUUCCAUUUGUUGUGGAGAGGAGAGGGACAAUUUAGAAUAAAAAAAAUUAGAAUACACGAGGAAGGAUUUCAACUUGUUUGCAUUCUAUUUUCUUGUGAAAAAGAGAAAUGCAGAUAAAGAUUCUAAAUUUUGAACCAUAGUCAGUUGUGUAAUUUCAUUUGUUGUGGAAGAGGAGAGGGACAAUUUAGAAUAAAAAAAAUUGGAAUACACGAGGAAGGAUUUCAACUUGUUUGCAUUCUAUUUUCUUGUGAAAAAGUGGAAUCGAAUUAAAGAUUGUUAAUUUUGAACCAUAGUCAGAUGUGUAAUUUCAUUUGUUGUG